rnacentral:rRNA from 1 species
AGAGUUUGAUCCUGGCUCAGGAUUAACGCUGGCGGCGUGCAUAACACAUGCAAGUCGAACGAUGAGGAUUAUUAGACUUCUUCGGAAUGAAAAUAAUUGGAUUAGUGGCGGACGGGUGAGUAACGCGUGAGUAACCUGCCUUACACAAGGGGAUAGCCGUUGGAAACGACGAAUAAUACCCUAUGAAACUAUCACUUCGCAUGAAGCGAUAGUCAAAGUGUUAGCGGUGUAAGAUGGACUUGCGUCUGAUUAGCUAGUUGGUGAGAAAAAAGCCCACCAAGGCAACGAUCAGUAGCCGGCUUGAGAGAGUGUACGGCCACAUUGGGACUGAGACACGGCCCAGACUCCUACGGGAGGCAGCAGUGGGGAAUUUUGCACAAUGGGGGAAACCCUGAUGCAGCGACGCCGCGUGAUUUAGAAGGCCUUCGGGUUGUAAAAAUCUUUUGUAUAGGAAGAAAAUGACAGUACUAUACGAAUAAGGUCCGGCUAAUUACGUGCCAGCAGCCGCGGUAAUACGUAAGGACCGAGCGUUGUCCGGAAUCAUUGGGCGUAAAGGGUACGUAGGCGGGUCAUUAAGUUAGAAGUCAAAGGCUAUAGCUCAACUAUAGUAAGCUUCUAAAACUGGAGACCUUGAGUAAUGGAAGGGAAAGUGGAAUUCCUAGUGUAGCGGUGGAAUGCGCAGAUAUUAGGAGGAAUACCGGUGGCGAAGGCGUCUUUUCUGGCCAUUAACUGACGCUGAGGUACGAAAGCGUGGGUAGCAAACAGGAUUAGAUACCCUGGUAGUCCACGCCGUAAACGAUGAGUGUUAGUGUCUGGAGUAAAUCUGGGUGCCGCAGCUAACGCAUUAAACACUCCCGCCUGGGAGUACGCACGCAAGUGUGAAACUCAAAGAAAUUGACGG